UAAGGAAUAUUGGUCAAUGGAGGGAACUCUGAACCAGCCAUGCCGCGUGAAGGAUGACGGCCCUCUGGGUUGUAAACUUCUUUUGGAUGGGGCGAAAAAACGGGAUUUAUCCUGGACUGACGGUACCAUCAGAAUAAGCACCGGCUAACUCCGUGCCAGCAGCCGCGGUAAUACGGAGGGUGCAAGCGUUAUCCGGAAUCACUGGGUUUAAAGGGUGCGUAGGCGGUUGUAUAAGUCAGGGGUGAAAGGAUGCAGCUUAACUGUAUAAUUGCCUUUGAUACUGUAUGACUUGAAUAAGGUUGAGGUUGGCGGAAUGUGACAUGUAGCGGUGAAAUGCUUAGAUAUGUCAUGGAACACCGAUUGCGAAGGCAGCUGACUGGGCCUUUAUUGACGCUGAGGCACGAAAGCGUGGGUAGCGAACA
rnacentral:rRNA from 1 species